CCAGCACCCGCGGUAAUUCCAGCUCCAAUAGCGUAUAUUAAAGUUGUUGCAGUUAAAAAGCUCGUAGUCGAAGCUAUUUGGCCUUUUCUUUACCGAUUUGCCUGUACGUUGAGGCAUGCGCUGGAGGAAACUCUGGUGCAUUGUCUUUUGUGCAGGGGGCCAAAUUGUACUUCGGAGGAACGCGUGUGCCUUUCAUUAGGUGCAUGUCGGGAUUCCGAUAGUUUACUUUGAGAAAAAUAGAGUGUUCAAAGCAGGCGUUUUUGCCUUGAAUACAUUAGCAUGGGAUAAUAGAAUAGGACAUUGGUUCUAUUUUGAUGGUUUACGGACCGAUGUAAUGAUUAAUAGGAACAGUUGGGGACAUUCAUAUUCCAUGGCUAGAGGUGAAAUUCUUGGAUUCAUGGAAGAUGAACUACUGCGAAAGCAUUUGUCAAAGAUGUUUUCAUUGAUCAAGAACGAAAGU
rnacentral:rRNA from 1 species